CCGCUGAAUUUAAGCAUAUAAGUAAGCGGAGGAUAAGAAACUAAAUAGGAUUACCUCAGUAAUGGCGAAUGAACAGGGGUAAGCUCAGCAUUAAAAUUGGGGCCUCUGGCCUUGAAUUGUAGUCUCGAGAUGUACAACUAACAGGGGUGCAGGUGUAAGCCUCCUGGAAAGGAGCGCCGGCGAGGGUGAGAGCCCCGCGCGUCUUCUGCAGCCCCCUGUGCACAGUGUACUUUCCAAGAGUCACGUUCCUCGGGAUUGGAGCGCAAAGUGGGUGGUAAAUUUCAUCUAAAGCUGAAUAUGGGUCCGAGACUGAUAGCAAACAAGUACCCUGAGGGAAAGAUGAAAAGGACUUUGAAAAGAGAGUUAAACAGAGCCUGCCAUUGCUGAAAGGGAAGCGAACGAUACCAGUGUGACUUGGCGGGAUUGCCUCACAUUAUUGCGACUACUUGGUGCCUUUGCGAAAGCAUGGCGCUAGGUUUUUAGCAGGACGUGCGUGGUACUUCUUGCCUUGUCAGUCAACCUCGGUUUGUGCCUUUGGAAAAAAGUGGGGACAUGGUAGCCUGCCUCUGGGUGCGCGAAUGUUUCUGCGAAUGCGAAUGCACCUACUGACUGUUGACCACAUGGUUUCUUUCGACCCGUCUUGAAACACGGACCAAGGAGUCUAACAUAUGUGCGAGUUCGCGGGUUUUUAAUCCUGUUUGCGCAAUGAAAGUGACUGCUGGGAUUACUGCACCAGCAACCGACCAAUCAACUGCGAGAGGUUUGAGUGUGAGCAUGUCUGUUAGGACCCGAAAGAUGGUGAACUAUGCCUGUGAAGGGCAAACUCAGGGGAAACUCUGAUGGAGGCUCGUAGCGAUACUGACGUGCAAAUCGUUCGUCAUACAUGGGUAUGGGGGCGAAAGACUAAUCGAACCAUCUAGUAGCUGGUUCCCUCCGAAGUUUCCCUCAGGAUAGCUGGAGUUGAUCAGUUUUAUCAGGUAAAGCGAAUGAUUAGAGGAAUCGGGGACGCGUUGUCCUCGACCUAUUCUCAAACUUUAAAUGGGUAAGAUCCAGUGGUUACUUGGGUGAACUUCUGGGAUACAUGACAACUCUAAGUGGGCCAUUUUUGGUAAGCAGAACUGGCGAUGAGGGAUGAACCUAACGUUGGGUUAAGGUGCUUAACUGCUCGCUCAUCAGAUACCAUAAAGGGUGUUGGUUCAUUUUAACAGCAGGACGGUGGUCAUGGAAGUCGAAAUCCGCUAAGGAGUGUGUAACAACUCACCUGCCGAAUGGACUAGCCCCGAAAAUGGAUAGCGCUCAAGCGGGUGACCGAUACCCAACCAUUGCUGCAAUUGUGCUGCAUCAAUGAGUAGGAGGGCAUGGGGGCUUGUAGUGAAGCUUGUGGCGCAAGCCUGGGUGAAACAGCUUCUGGUGCAGAUCUUGGUGGUAGUAGC
rnacentral:rRNA from 1 species